CGAACGAAGGAUUGUGAGGAAACGUAAGUAGAGACACAAUGACUGAGUGGCGGACGGGUGAGUAACGCGUAGGGAACCUGGCCCUUACAGGGGGAUAACAGAUGGAAACAACUGCUAAUACCGCAUAAGCGCACGGCCUCGCAUGAGGGAGUGUGAAAAACUACGGUGGUAAGGGAUGGCCCUGCGUCCGAUUAGCUAGUUGGUAUGGUAAAGGCAUACCAAGGCAACGAUCGGUAGCCGGCCUGAGAGGGUGGACGGCCACAUUGGGACUGAGACACGGCCCAAACUCCUACGGGAGGCAGCAGUGGGGGAUAUUGCACAAUGGGGGGAACCCUGAUGCAGCGACACCGCGUGGGUGAGGAAGCGCUUCGGCGUGUAAAGCCCUAUCAGUGGGGAAGAAAAGAGACGGUACCCAAAGAAGAAGCACCGGCUAAAUACGUGCCAGCAGCCGCGGUAAUACGUAUGGUGCAAGCGUUAUCCGGAAUGACUGGGUGUAAAGGGAGCGUAGACGGUUGUUCAAGUCUGAUGUGAAAGCCCUCGGCUUAACUGGGGGAGUGCAUUGGAAACUGAAGGACUAGAGUAUCGGAGAGGCAAGUGGAAUUCCUAGUGUAGCGGUGAAAUGCGU
rnacentral:rRNA from 1 species